ACCUACGGGACGCAGCAGUGGGGAAUAUUGCGCAAUGGGGGCAACCCUGACGCAGCAACGCCGCGUGAUUGAAGAAGGCCUUCGGGUUGUAAAGAUCUUUAAACAGGGACGAAGAAAUGACGGUACCUGACUAAGAAGCCCCGGCUAACUACGUGCCAGCAGCCGCGGUAAUACGUAGGGGGCAAGCGUUAUCCGGAUUUACUGGGUGUAAAGGGAGCGUAGACGGCAGCACAAGUCUGAAGUGAAAUGCCGGGGCUUAACCCCGGAACUGCUUUGGAAACUGUGCAGCUAGAGUGCAGGAGAGG
rnacentral:rRNA from 1 species